GACGGUAUAGCUCAGUGGUAGAGUGCAUGACUAGCAUGCACAAGGUCCUUGGUUCAAUCCCUAGUACCUCCA
rnacentral:tRNA from 1 species